UUGUUAGGCCUGAAUAAAGAUAUAGCAGACAAAACCAGGUAUGCCAACCUGACCAAAGUCAGGCUAACAGAGGUUUGUGGGUAAUCCCUGAGUGGAAAACACUGAGAAGCAGCAGCAUGUCUCACAAGCGCUGGGAAAAAGUGAGAUAAGAGAGAAGCUGCAUUCCUGGCAUAGUACCAGAUGUGCUGUGUUCGGGCAGCUCCUUCGAAGAACUGAUAAGAGUCCUAGUUUCCCAGCCUCCUUGUUUUCGCUCCCUGGUUUUGUUCUUUGUUUGUUUUGAACUCCCCUACAUUUCUAACUUUAGGCAUGCAUGUAUACUAAAGGUGUCUAGUUUCUAGUUGUUAGAAGAAGGGGGUGGGUUGCUCCAGUGAAUAAUUUAUGACGCGACGGAACUGUCUAUAUAGGCUUAUACUAAGAUGUAAAGAGCAGGCUGGUUCUCUCUGGAGACGAGCUGCUCUCUAUUGAUGCGUGCACUUGUCAAUAAAGAGCUUUUGAUCGGACCUUGCUGGUGUUGCCUGUCUCUCUCGCGGUCAGACAACGAACUUUGCCGUCUGGGGUAGAGUCCCUGACAUCUUUGGCGACUCCGCCGGGACCCGUCUGACUCUCCGGCGGGGGAUCGGACCCUGAGGCAACGCAGCGCGCAUCCUCCAGUUUAGAGGAGCCUUGCCUGGUGAUCUGAUCUCUGCGUUGGCGAUAAGGCGUGUUCUGUGAACCAGCUGAAACUCGUAGAAAUCCAGCAACGUCCACCUACCCGUUGAGUAGGGUCCAGGUUGUCGGGGUUAGAGUCCCUGACUACUUAGGUCUGGGUUAGAGUCCCAGUCCAGGUCUGGGUUAGAGUCCCAGUCCAGGUUUGCGCAGGAUCCAAGUUGUCUGGGUUUGAGUCCCAGUCCAGGUAUUCAAGUCCCUGGAGAGAUAAUCAGAGAAAACUGAUGCCAGCUAAACAGCAUUCAACGUACCAUGCAUUUACUGGCACAAUAGAAAUUAUGUUUUGUGUUCUAUGUUCUGUCUUGUGGUGUUAGUCUUGUGGCCGGAAUUUUUGUGUUUAAUAUUUUUAUAAAAUAAUCUAGUUUAAAAUCAAACAAAAAGGUUAAAUUAAAAUGCAGAUACUUGUUUUGUUCAACUUGGAAUACAAAGUGUUUAGAUAACUCAGGAGAAUGUGAUAUACUAAAGUCUAAUGCAUUUCCUUAAGUAAGGAAAAGAAACUUUAUUGGUCAAAUUGUUAAUUGCAAAAAUUGUUGUUAAAAUUUGCAUACCAACAGUCUUUGAAAGCAAAGACAUGAAAAGUUAACCCACUCCCCAUAUUGUACAUGGGAUCUUUCUGGCUACCUCAGAUUUCUAGCCAGAGGGCUGGGGAUGGUGGAAGGCUAUUGGACUAGAGGUUGUAUUGAGUGAACUCCUCAAAGUGGGUGUGCUUGUCCUGGCUUGUUGCUCGAAAGCUCUGUAAUAAGGUUAUUUUAGUAAAAGGUUAUGUGUGGCAUAUAUUGAAUAAUAAGACUAAUGUACUGUAUAAUGACAAUGUGUAGGUGUUCAUUGUUGGGAAAAAGGUGUAUAAGUAAAAAGUGAAAGUUUCCUUUGCAGGUUAAAAGAAGCCAAGAAGGAAAGAAGGACAAAGAACAGAAUGAAUUAACUGAAAAAAAUAAAAUAAAAUAAAAUAAAAUAGCAAGCUCAGGCUAUAGAUAAGACACUGACUCCAUUCAAGGACACUGCUCACAGUUAAGACUUGGUUAACAACCAGGAAAAGGAGAGCUUGAAUUUGCCCAUGCAGCUAUGAGAUCUGAAAAACACUGCCAGGCACUAAUGAAAUGUGUUAAGUUUCUUUUCUCACAGGU